GUAGAUAAUAAUAUCUCGUAUACUUACAGUGUUCAGCGUUUACAUGUUCAUGGAAGAACGCAUGAAGAAGUAAUAGAACGAACAACCGAAUAUCCAUUUUCGGUGUCUGACCAGCCAACAUCUUAAGAGGAAAAAUUGUAAUAACACUGUUCAAUAUGUGUUUCUCAAGAAUUAAGGAUGAUGGAAAAAAACAGCUUACGGAUUCGUAUUCAUUGCAGAAAUUUAUAAAAAACGUCUACUAAAUAUUACAUCAAUCUCUCACGCAAAAUACAUUCAAGAAAUAUUAUCGGUUUAACAGUUUCAGUGAUCAAGCGAUACCUUGUUGACUAGAAGCAUGACGAUGUUAAUGAAACACAAAACUUUUGCCUAUACUUUAUUAAUUAGACGAACCGCAAGAUGACAUCAUUGAAAUAGUACAUAGUUAUCCGACGCUCGUCGGACGUACCUCUACGAAAUGAAACACCGGGUUCUCUUCAUACGUGACCAGUUCUUUGUUUCUCUGGAUGUAUAAACCUGACCACGUUUCACGCUCGAAAUAAAUAAAACGAUGGCACAGAAGUAACGUAAGAGCGGAACCGAGAUAACUAACAGUGUAUUAUGAAGAAAAGAAAAAAUCGGGUGGUUCGGUUACAUUGAACAAAAGCUUAACUCGAUGACCACUGGAAACUCAACAGGCGAUGAUCAGAGAGAGUUUACCACAUGGUGCUCGAACACAUGGAGAAUUUCUUUGCAUUCAACACGUAUGCACACAUGUAGUCGCACGAAGACUGGAUUAAAUCGUCGCUGGCUGUUGAUGCGGCCAAAAGUCCAGUAGGGAACUGGAAUUAUUGAAGCUGGUGGGGGUUCUGCGUAAUACACGCAACGGGACUCAAUUGAGACAUAAUAUGGGAAUUGAUAUUGCACCGCAUCUCCUAUUAAAAUUUCAAACUUUUCUUGCAAUGACAAUUUCUCUUGAUAUUGGCCUGCUCAUAAAGGAACCUGAGUCACCCGACAAUUGCUACUGAAUUACUUUGUUAAUGCUACAAUUGUCAGAAACGACGAUUGCGAGUGAAUUAUUGUCAUCCAUAUGCAGCAUAGUUUCAACCAGACACGUGUCCGUUCUAUCAUUUUCUAUUACCGGUAUUAUUUUCUUGCAUUGUAUACAAAUUUUUUGAAAAAUUCAAAUCUUCCAAUCUAAUUCAGCUAAAUACGUCUUAAUAAAAUGAUAAAAAGAUAUUUUAGUAAUCAAAUAAUUAGAUUGACGAAUGAAGAUUUAUAUUUCAGACAGUUAUAUUUUGAUUUUCUUUUUGAUACAGCUAACAUAUAAUAUGAAAAUGCAUAUCCGGUGAACAGCGGACUUCAUACUAAUGAGAUAAUUUUAAUCAACAUUGACAGCAACGUUUAUAGUGUAUACUGAUGUUCCUAUUAUAUUUCAAAUUAUCUCUCAACAAAGUAUGUGAAAUUAAACAGUGAGUACUCGAAAAUAAAUUAGGGAACAUUUGUGUCAUCUAUUAGGAAGCAGCUGAAGCUAGUUAUCAGCUUAUCGGUCGUCCUGCCGGCCGUCUGUAAGUUGCCAACUUAUCGACCGAUCAUUCGACAAUCGCUAGGUUGCCGACUUAUCGAUCGAUCAUUUGGCAGUCGGUAACUUGUCGCAUAGCUUUCGCUGUAGCUUGAUAGGUAGCGCUAGUAUAACAGUUUUUUUUCGGCGGUACAAUGGGUAAUAUCACUAUUCUACAUUAUCCAUCAUUCCUAUUUACCGAUCGUACCCCAGGCCCGCUGGGCCCACUUGGGGUGCCGAACUUUAUCACAGGGGAUGGCAGUCUUUAACAGUAUCUCGUCGGUGCCUUGGGGUACCGGGUACUCCAAUAAUGACGCCCCAGCGGUAACAAAGGCAUGUUUAGUCUUCUUGGAUCUGUAAUCACUGUUGUAAAUCGGUUCAUGGGUAAACAAGAGAGGAAAUAAAAAAAAAAUCGAUCAAUAAGUCAUUGAAUAGUUUGCCUCAUUUUUGUACAGAUGACGCUGAAGGCGAAUUUUAAAAAUAAUUUAUGGCGGUCUUUUUAAAAUUUCGUUUGUCGAACGGUUAUGUUAGUAAUUUUCAAGUCUUGUACUAAUUUUGACUGAUUUCUAAAAAAGAUUUGACCCCUUAAAAACAAAGGCUUUCCAGUCUUUUUAUAUCUGUAGUCACUGAUCAUAUAUUUCACAAAUAUUACAAUUUUAUAAUUCUUACACUUUUAUUGAAUUACAGUACAAUUAUUAUUGAGCUGCACCAAUUUAAAUGUGAUAUUAACUGGUAUGUAUGUAUAUAGUUAAUAUCAGAAUACAGAGUAAUC